CGGGUGAGUAACGUGUGGGCAACCUGCCCUGCACUGGGGAAUAAUCAUUGGAAACGAUGACUAAUACCGCAUACGGUUCCUGGGAGGCAUCUUCCGGGAAAGAAAGGAUUUAUUCGGUGCAGGAUGGGCCCGCAUCUGAUUAGCUAGUUGGUGAGAUAACAGCCCACCAAGGCGAUGAUCAGUAGCCGACCUGAGAGGGUGACCGGCCACAUUGGGACUGAGACACGGCCCAAACUCCUACGGAAGGCAGCAG
rnacentral:rRNA from 1 species